UGAGUCCCAUUACUGAUCAUGAGAGUGAAGAGAUCAAUGUCUGCUCCUCUGCUUCUCCUCACGAGGGUGAUGAAGACUGCCAUGGCCUGCCCUGGAGUAGUGUGACAUGGGUGCACAUCACCUGGAGCUUGGAUAGUUCCCUCUGGGUCCUGGGGACAGCGGGAGGUGGCAGUGCUGUCUUGGAGCUCAGGCUGGUUCCUGCUGGUCUGGAGGAGCUCCCUGGGGCCGGGCCCAGCACAGGCCUCCAUAGCCCUGUGCUGUGCUCCCUCAGGGGUUUCCAGGCAUGGUGAGGCACCCUCAGCCCUGGGAUGGGCAUCAGGCCUGCGGUGCUGUGGGACAGCCCAAAAAUGCCUUCAGCAGCCUCAGUGGUAGCCAAAGGUGGCCCCAGCAUGUGCUGGCUCUGCUUGGCCACAGUGCAGGGAGCACGAAUGGGACAGUCUCCCUCUUGUCCCUGCACUGCAGGGGCCAAAUCUUCAGAACCCCCUGCUCUGACCUGGACCAUUCCCAGGAGGGGAACACAAUGAUCAGCACAAGGUCUCUCUCUUGUUCCUGAACAUCCUUUUUGGUAGGCCUCACAGGUACAUUUAUUCAGAACUGCCUUUGGUCAUUGGUGGCUCUUCUCCAGAGCAACACCUGCUGAUCCCUGAGUCACCAAUGUCUUUCCAGAAGAGAAGGACCACAAUAGAGGGAAUUUGUGCAGCUUGUUGCUUCCAAUGUGUGGAAAUGUUUACAAAGGGUAUGGGUUGGUUGCCAACCCAAAAGUCAGAGGGGAUUUUAUGAGGACACAAAAAGAUAAAGUGGCUGCAGCUCGUGUGGGCCUCCCAGAGACAGCUGAGGGCUGACAUCUUUGGCCUUGCAUCUUGCCAAAGAGAUGUUGACUGCAGGAUGAGGAUUAAGAAGAAUGGAUAAAUAUUUGGGGAGUGCAGGAGUCAAAUAAGUCUCCUUUGCUGUGUAACUUUUUUAAAGGACACAGUUUGGCAGCCAGAGCUCUGUGUGGAUCAGCUGCCCUGUGGGGAGUCCAGGGCACCUUCAUGCAGUGAGUUCUUCCUUCCUGGCUGAAAUCCUGUUUGUUCCAGAUGUUUGGCAUACAGAUAUCUUUACUAAUGUCUUAUGUAUAGUAAAAGCUGCAAUACUGGCUAUCAGGAAAGAAACACUUUCAAAAAUGUGUUUGUAAAAAGCUAGAAAGCCACUGAAUAUUAAUUUCAAAAACCUCACUUCAGUUUGAUUUACACAGCUGAUGGCCCCAGGAUUUUUGUUCAUAUUUUUGUGGCUGAGGUUUCAGUGGACUAUGCCAGAAACAUGAUGGCUGCUUACACCAAGAAGUACCACUGGAUCCUAGUGAUGGUUCAGUCCAAAUCACCCUUGAGUAAACUUUAAUAAAUGUCCACUUGUUUAAACCUCUUAUGUUUGC
rnacentral:lncRNA from 1 species